AGUGUUUCAGACUCCUUCACAGUUUUCCCACUAAAGCAGUCAGUUUUCUUUUUCCCAGUCCAACAGCCGGCAGUUCUCCUUCAGCUUUGUCCUGUGUUCCACUGUCUCUUCUUGCCAUUUUCUCCAAAGGUAGCAAAUAUCAACCUCCAA